rnacentral:misc_RNA from 1 species
ACCGCUUGGUUCUUCAGUAGCAAACAAACAGGAAGUAGGGAUAUAAAGAAAGGGCCAAUCUUGGCAACAAAAUAUGAAAACAAUACCACUUGGCAAGGAGAGAAGAAUCAAGCUUUCAGUUGCUGAGGUGCUAACUAACUACAGGCAGUGCCAAGAAAUCUUUUAAUUUUGGAAAGCUACGUUAAGUUCCCUCCAUGACACUCUUUUCUCAGUAAAAAAAAAAAAAGGAGUGUGCUUUUCAGUUUGAUUCAGGCAAAUAGCGAUUAUUUUACC